CGGAAAUACAGUUCAUGUAUAAAUUUCCGUCUUAUAUUUUGUUCAUGUAAAACUCAAACAUCGCCAUUAUAAAAUGGGAACUCUUGUCGUCUGCUUCGUAAGUGUUGUUCUAUGCUGUGUUGUGUUUUGUCAGAAUGAUGGACAAAAUGACGUUGAAAUGAGCGAAGGGGAAAUGAUUUUACUACAGAGACGAAUUAAUCGGAUAUAUCAAAAUUGCGAAAAAUGCAAAUUUUGUAGCAUAGGAUUCAGAUACUGUGGAAUAUGUAACAAUGGUAAUAGUCUUAGCUUUUGUGAAUUUUGUUCCGCUAAAUACC
rnacentral:lncRNA from 1 species